UCUCUGGUGGUCCAGUGGUUACAACUUUGUAAUUUCACUGCAAUGGCCCAGGUUCCAUCCCUGGUCAGGGAA
rnacentral:tRNA from 1 species